AGCUCCAAUAGCGUAUAUUAAAGUUGUUGCAGUUAAAAAGCUCGUAGUUGGAUUUCUGUUUUGAAUUUCCGGUCCGUUCAAUGAAUGUGUACUUGGAAAUUUGAUUCAUUUAUUGUGAGGACCUUAACUGGCAUUAAGUUGUCUGGUUUUGUGGACUUGCAUCGUUUACUGUGAAAAAAUUAGAGUGUUUAAAGCAGGCGUUCGCUUGAAUACAUUAGCAUGGAAUAAUAAGAUACGACACUGGUGGUCUAUUUUGUUGGUUUGCACACCAGAGUAAUGAUUAAUAGGGACAGUUGGGGGUAUUCGUAUUCCUGUGGAAGAGGUGAAAUUCUUGGAUCACAGGAAGACGAUCUUAGGCGAAAGCAUUUACCAUGGAUGUUUUCAUUA
rnacentral:rRNA from 1 species